GAAGCGGCAACAGCUCAAAUUUGAAAUCUGGCGCAAGCCCGAGUUGUAAUUUGUAGAGGAUGCUUCAGGGCAGCGGCCGGUCUAAGUUCCUUGGAACAGGACGUCAUAGAGGGUGAGAAUCCCGUAUGCGACCGGUUGGCACCCGUCACGUAGCUCCUUCGACGAGUCGAGUUGUUUGGGAAUGCAGCUCUAAAUGGGAGGUAAAUUCCUUCUAAAGCUAAAUACCGGCCAGAGACCGAUAGCGCACAAGUAGAGUGAUCGAAAGAUGAAAAGCACUUUGGAAAGAGAGUUAAAAAGCACGUGAAAUUGUUGAAAGGGAAGCGCAUGCAACCAGACUCGACGGCGGUGUUCCGCCGGUCUUCUGACCGGUCUACUCGCCGCCGUCGGGCCAGCAUCACUUGGGGGCGCCGGAUAAAGGCGUGGGGAAUGUGGCUCUUCGGAGUGUUAUAGCCCCGCGCACAAUACGGCGACCCUCGAGUGAGGUCCGCGCUUCGGCUAGGAUGCUGGCGUAAUGGUUGUAUGCGGCCCGUCUUGAAACACGGACCAAGGAGUCUACCAUCUAUGCGAGUGUUCGGGUGUCAAACCCCUACGCGUAAUGAAAGUGAACGGAGGUGGGAACCGCAAGGUGCACCAUCGACCGAUCCUGAUGUCUUCGGAUGGAUUUGAGUAAGAGCAUAGCUGGUGGGACCCGAAAGAUGGUGAACUAUGCCUGAAUAGGGUGAAGCCAGAGGAAACUCUGGUGGA
rnacentral:rRNA from 2 species